GAUGAACGCUAGCUACAGGCUUAACACAUGCAAGUCGAGGGGAAACGACAUUGAAGCUUGCUUCGAUGGUCGUCGACCGGCGCACGGGUGAGUAACGCGUAUCCAACCUGCCUCUGACCAAGGGAUAACCCGUCGAAAGUCGGCCUAAUACCUUAUGCAGUCGUCGGAAGUCAUCUGAUGACGACGAAAGAUUUCAUCGGUGAGAGAUGGGGAUGCGUCUGAUUAGCUUGUUGGCGGGGUAACGGCCCACCAAGGCAACGAUCAGUAGGGGUUCUGAGAGGAAGGUCCCCCACAUUGGAACUGAGACACGGUCCAAACUCCUACGGGAGGCAGCAGUGAGGAAUAUUGGUCAAUGGGCGAGAGCCUGAACCAGCCAAGUAGCGUGCAGGAUGACGGCCCUAUGGGUGGUAAACUGCUUUUAGGCGGGGAUAAAGUGAGGGACGUGUCCUUCAUUGCAGGUACCGCAUGAAUAAGGACCGGCUAAUUCCGUG
rnacentral:rRNA from 1 species